rnacentral:rRNA from 1 species
AUACGGAGGGUGCAAGCGUUAAUCGGAAUUACUGGGCGUAAAGCGCGCGUAGGCGGAUUGUUAAGUCUCAUGUGAAAGCCCUGGGCUCAACCUGGGAACUGCAUGGGAUACUGGCAAUCUAGAAUACAGUAGAGGGUAGUGGAAUUUCAGGUGUAGCGGUGAAAUGCGUAGAGAUCUGAAGGAACAUCAGUGGCGAAGGCGACUACCUGGACUGAUAUUGACGCUGAGGUGCGAAAGCGUGGGGAGCAAACAGGAUUAGAAACCCCAGUAGUCC